CAAUAGCGUAUAUUAAAGUUGUUGCAGUUAAAAAGCUCGUAGUUGAAUUUUUGCUUGCCGCCGAUGUCGGAACUUCCGUACGUUCGGCGGCGUGCAUCCUUGGGUGGAACCUGUGUGGCAUUAGGUUGUCGUGCAGGGGAUGCUCAUCGUUUACUGUGAAAAAAUUAGAGUGUUCAAAGCAGGCUUACGCCGUUGAAUAUAUUAGCAUGGAAUAAUAAGAUAGGACCUUGGUACUAUUUUGUUGGUUUGUGCACCGAGGUAAUGAUUAACAGGGACAGUUGGGGGUAUUCGUAUUCCAUUGUCAGAGGUGAAAUUCUUGGAUUUCUGGAAGACGAACUACUGCGAAAGCAUUUACCAAGGAUGUUUUCAUUAA
rnacentral:rRNA from 1 species